GCUCAAGAAAUGGCAAAAAAGACAAAAAAAAAAAAAAAAAAAAGACACGAGAGGUUUGUGGGACAAUGUCAGUGGGUUCACUGAUUGUAUGACUCAAUUCUCAGAAACUGAGGAACGAGGGAACAAAGUAAUACUUGAAGGGAUGAAUGGUUAGGAAUGUUCCCCAACUGAUGAAAAAUACCCAUCCACAAACCUCAGAAGCUCAUUGAAUCCCAGUGAAGACAGAUACAAAGACAAUCUUGCCCUGGACAGCACAGCAAAACUGCUGAAAAGCCAAAAAUUAUAAACACCAAAGCACAAGAGCAGCUAUAGAAAAAUGGGUUCAGGAGAAAGAAUUCUCAGAAACACAGGAGACCAAAUGGCAAAACCCAGCCUCUUCAGAGGAGGAAAGAAAAAACACGUCUACCCAGAACCUUACGUCCUGCACAAACACCCUUCAAUAAUGAGCCGAAGAAAGACAUACUCAGCCAAGAGUCCGUUCCCAUUUGACCCACAUAAAUGCUACGAGGAGAUCUUCGGAGAAGGGAGCUCAGGAGGGGAAGGACAAACGUGUGGCUAAGUGUACAGGCUUAGCAGAUUUCCAGGCGGAUGGAGAGACAUUCUCUGACAGCUGAAAGCUAAGAGUGAAGAUCUGACAGCAUAGCUGGAAACUGCGUGUUCAAAAUGGCUACAUCUGGAUACAAAAAAAAAAAAAAUCAAGUUCUUCAACAGGAAUUAUUACGGAUGCAAGGAAUGCAAAAGAAAUGUGGAAAACUAGAGAAGGAUA